GGCUCUGCCAGGCUAGCUAGUCACUACUUACCCUAGCUACCUCCUAACACAAGCAAUACUUAAUAUAUGAUGGCCUUGGUACCUGAGAAGAUGCUUACUAUUAUGCAGCUCUAUUUCAUAGCGGCUGCAACGAUCACAAUUCUUCUAGCUGCAGAGUCCACAGCGCUUCCUCAAGCCAAGCCAGGAUGCCAAGAGAAGUGCGGUGAUCUCAUAAUCCCAUACCCGUUUGGCGUAGGCGAAUUCUGUUCGAUGCGACCAGAGUUCACCGUUACUUGCGAUCAAUCCACUACAGCAGCACCCUCAUCAGCAAACUUUACAAACAGUACCUUCACCUUUCCCAUCACCAUUUCUAACUUUUCUCUUGUUGACGGUGAGUUACAAGUACUGCAGGCCAUAGCCCGAGAUUGUUUUGACGAGGAGGGUAAUACUACAAACAUCGGGAGUGUGCUACAGCUACCUCCUUCUUACACCAUAUCUACCAGAAACGACUUCUUCAUCAUUGGCUGUAACGUUUUAGGAGUCUUUGGGGAAGGUGUGGAUGUGGGAUACGAAACAGGAAUAAAUUCGGCCUUCUGUAUGGAUUUUCUUCCCAAUUUGACCAAGUCUUGCUCCGGCGUUGGGUGCUCCAGAACUACCGUCCCCGGUGGAAUGCAAAAUGUUAGUAUUCUCAUGGAGAAAAUGAACGACUUUAACGCAACCGACCUGUGGCAAUCAAACUACCCGUGCAGCUACGCCUUCAUUGUGAAAGACGGAAAUUUCACGUUCGACCCGGAAUCAAGUUUUCAGCAACUGAAAACCACAAGGCAGCAGCUUCCAGUGGCUGUGAAUUGGGCUGUCGGGGAUAAGUCUUGUGAAGAAGCAACUCAUUUAUGCGCAGGAAAUGCGUCCUGUGUCGACCGAAGUACCAUCACCGAUGGGAUGGUUGGUUAUAUUUGCCGGUGCUGGCCAGGUUACGAAGGAAAUCCUUAUCUCGGUUGCCAAGAUAUUGACGAGUGCACCGCUUUAGUACCGGGACGCUGUGAGUAUGGGAGGUGCGUAAAUUCACCUCCAGGAAAUUACUCAUGCGAGUGCAGUAAAGGAUUUAAAAACCUAGACGCCAUGACUUGUAUACCCAAUUCCUCGUCAAACAACACUACUUCCUGGAAAAUUUCAUUGGGUUUCAGUAUAGGCUUCUUGGUUUUUAAUGGUUUUUAAUCUUGUGGAUUUAUCGGGGAGUGAACAAAAGGAGACUCGUGAGACUCAAAAAAAAGAACUUCAGAGAAAACGGCGGCCCAACACUACAACAACAGCUCGCUAGUCAUGGAGGAUCUGUUGAGACAGCAAAAAUCUUUACUGCGGAGGAACUUAAGAAAGCCACAAACAAUUACCAUGUAGAUGAAAUCCUUGGAGAAGGAGGCUAUGGAACAGUUUACAAAGGGACGCUACAUGAUAAGAAUGUUGUUGCCAUAAAGAAGCCAAAGAUUGGCGCUCCAACUGAAAGUGAUCAGUUCGUUAAUGAGGUUAUCGUUCUUUCUCAAAUCAAACACAGAAAUAUAGUGAAACUAUUAGGUUGUUGUUUCGAGACCGAAGUGCCUUUAUUAGUAUACGAGUACAUCACUCAUGGUACUCUUUUCGAGCAUCUAUUCAAAAAUGGAAAAGGAUAUUCCUCGCUUUCAUGGGAAUUACGAUUGAAGAUAGCAUCAGAAACGGCAGGGGCAUUAGCAUACUUACACUCCUCUACUUCCACUCCAAUCAUACAUCGAGACGUGAAAUCUAUGAAUAUAUUAUUGGAUGACAAAUACACUGCCAAAGUGUCUGAUUUCGGAGCUUCACGUUUCAUUCCUCUAGAUCAAACUCAACUUGCAACACUAGUUCAAGGGACGCUUGGGUACUUGGAUCCUGAAUACUUUCAUUCAAACCAGCUGACCGAAAAGAGCGACGUCUAUAGCUUUGGAGUUGUCCUAGCGGAGCUACUAACAAGUAGAGUUGCACUUUCUUUUGCUAGGCCGGACAAGGAGAGAUGUCUAGCAAGCUUCUUUGUUUCUUCAAUUGAAAACGAUCGCUUGAUUCAGAUUCUUGAUGCUGAUAUGGUGAAUGAGGGGAACAUAGAGACAGUAGAGCAAGUAGCGAGACUGGCAAAAAGAUGUUUGAUGAUAAAAGGCGACGAAAGGCCUACGAUGAGGGAAGUUGCCAUGGAGUUAGAAGGGAUGAGAAUUACGGCAAAGCAUACAUGGAAAAAUGGCGAUUCCGGCUUCGAGGAGACUGAGUACUUGCUCGGGUCACAUGAUUCAGCUGCUUCCGUGGUGAAUAUUGGAGGCGGAGGUGACGGUGGUUCGAGCGUUACAAAUACUGUCUCACUAGACCCAUUGUUCUUCUACAUUCCCAUCAUCGAUGGAGAAGAAAAGUGCCUUGGAGUAGACAAAGAGUUGAGGACUAUAGCUCUCAUUCUGCGAUCUCUCACUGAUGUUACUAUCGUUGUGAAUAUCAUAUAUCAUGUUUGCAUCGCCAUUAACGCUGCUUACAAAGCACACAAAGGAAAUAAGAAUGAAUUAGAAUGGGAUUGGGAAUUUUCAAAGGUAUCGGCAGCUGAGAUAAUUCCAUUUGCUAAAUUAGUUGCUUGGAAGCUAGCAUGGCACUAUACGCUAACCAGCAUUUUAGCUGUUUUUCCAAUGCCACAGUCCGAAUCUUCAUCUUCAUCCGAAUCCGAGAUUGACUGUGAGGAAGACAAGUCCGACAUCGACAUGACCGACUCACCACUCAAAUCUGCUUUCAUCCCCACAGCCCCGGAAUCAUCUUCAUGCAUUGCUUUUACUGUGCCUAAUGAAGCCAACUUCUCCAUACCGGUUCAGUUGCUUGGGCAAUUGCCUAAGUACUCGGGUUCUCCAAUGGAGGACCCUAAUGUUCACCUUAGAGAGUUUCUCGAUAUCUGCAGAUUUCUUUUAUUUCCUUUUACUCUUAAAGAUGAUGCUAAGCGUUGGUUGUAUUCUUUGUCUGCAGGAAUCAUCACCAAUUGGAAUGAGAUGACCUCGAAGUUCUUGAAACAAUUCUUCCCUGCGCAACUCACGAAGAAGCUAAGGAGGGAGAUUCAGAAUUUCACUCAAAAGGAUGGUGACAGUCUCUAUGAGGCAUGGGAAGAGUUUCAGGAACUUCAGAGGAAGUGCCCUCAUCAUGGAAUUACUUUGGACGAGUUAGUUCAAGCUUUUUAUGAGGGACUUGACAACACCAACAAGGGUAUGGUGGACUCUGCAUGUGGAUGCACAUUUAUGAACAAGACCGGACGGCAAGCAUAUAACUUAAUUGAGGACUUGGCAGAUAACAAUGGUCAAUUCAGCACCAAGAACUCAAGGAAGUCGGCAGGAGGCCGUGGUGGUGUCUAUGACAUUGAAGCUCAGAAUCAGAUGAUCACGUUGGAUAGGAAGCUUGAUGUCUUGGUCAAGGCUUUCAAUGGUUCGAAUCUUGGCAACCAAGCUUGUGGAAUUUGCUCACUUUCGGAUCACUCUACAGAUUCAUGUCCGAAUGGUGCCUUGAGUGAGGCGGAGUUGAACUUUAUGGGACAACAGAGGCAACGUUAUGAUCCAUAUUCGAACACUUACAAUCCUGGAAUUAGAGAUCAUCCGAAUUUUCGGUGGAGUAACAACAAUGCUCAACCGGCCAAUAUUCAAGGUCAAGGACCUCGUCCUUCAGGUUUGUUCAUGAGGCCUCAGGUACCUCAAGGUUUUGUUCCUAACUCUUCUAAUUUCGCGCCUAAUAAUGCCAAUGUUCAAGGUUCAAAUAAUAAUGCUAGUUCUUCUACUCCUAAUUAUGAUGAACUCUUGAAGUCCCUUGCUCAAGGGCAACAGAACUUAACAUCUGCAACUCAAGCUUUAGUGACAGGUCAACAGGCUAAUUCUAAAGAGAUCACGGAGCUCAAGAAGCAGAUGGGACAGGUUUCGCGUUCUGCCCAGUACGAAAGGAGUCUUUCGCACAAGGACUCGCCAGCCUCGCGUGCCUCCUCUGAGAAGGCACUAUUCAUCAGAACGGGGUGUGGGAUCCGCGAUGGUGUGAGGACGUUGCAAGUCGUCCUUCGCCUGGUUGGCGGAGAUGGAGAAUGGCCGUGGGUCGGCUUUGAUGAUGACCGCUUCACGGUUCUCGGUGUCCCAAAUCAUGAGUUCUUGGUGCAUGGAGGAAGGCACGCAAAAGCUUCUGUGGAUCCAAUCUCGGCCAAGAAUCAUGCUGUUCUGGUGAUGGCUUGCGUCUGGAAGGCUGUGGAUCCUGCUUUGGUGGAACCGCGAGUCGGCAAAAGACGUUUGCUUUGGGCGCAGGCUCGUCGCCAAACUGCUCGCAAAUCCUUGGGGCUCUUCUCGAGUCCUGGGACUCAUAGGCUGGGAAUCUUCAACGGGGGACGAUCCAUCGUCCCUUAUGACUGCUUUGCCCUUAUCUUUGCGGGAGGGGCGGUCUGUAACCCUAGCAUCACUCAAGCGCCAAGGCCUGCAACCUGCUCCGACCGCUGCGGUGAUGUCGAAAUCCCAUAUCCAUUAGGCAUAGAGCCUAGCUGUUACAUGGAGGUGCCGGAACAAGAUGAACAGAAAUUCAAGGUCACCUGUGACCAGGCCACCACGCCACCGUUACUCAAGUUCUUGAACGGUGAUAUCCUCAACCAAAGCAUUACUAACAUUUCUGUAGGUGAGAGUGAGAUGCAAGUAAUGCUGCCCACAUCCCGGAACUGCUACACCGACGGUUACUACAACGAUUCUUUGUACAGAAACAGUGAGCUCAUCCUCCCCUCUGGUUACACCAUCUCUGAUAAGAACAAGGUUUAUAUCAUUGGAUGUAACAAAAUAGCACUAUACCAAGGUUUAGUUACCCAAGUCGAGCCAGAGCGAACAGAAAUCGAGAAGCUGGGGACAACCGGCGUGAGCUUGUGCCAAGAUCUACUCGGAGCGUUGUCCAACAAUUGCAGUGGCGUCGGGUGUACCCAAAGGACCAUCAUAAGUGGACUUCACAGUAUUAACUUGGAUGUGUGGACAAUCGGUGCAGGCCUUGGAAGCACAUCACAGUGGACACUAGACUACCCGUGCAGCUACGGUUUCAUUGUGGAUGAUCGCAAUUUCACCUUCGCAGGGAAUGCAACUUUUAAAGAGAUGGACAGCCGCACAAACGCGCCGAAGCUUCCGGUGACUGUUAACUGGGAAAUUGGAAAGAACAACUGUGAAGUUGCCCUCAAUAAUCAAACUUCUUAUGCAUGCAAGGCCGCAAAUACUGAAUGUGUCAACGGCACUUCAGGUGGAUAUUUCUGCCGCUGCCAGAAAGGUUACCAAGGGAACCCUUACGUGCUUGGUGGUUGCGAAGGUAUCUGUUUGAGCUUCCUAGUCGUAUUAAUUAUAACAUUUUGGAUAUACUGCGGAAUGAAAAGAAGAAAGUUCAAGCAACUCAAAGAGAAGUACUUCAAAGACAAUGGUGGCUUCUUGUUACAACAAAAAUUGGAGAAUUUUAACGGACCUCAAGAAGCAGCCAAAAUCUUUACAAGAGAAGAGCUUAAGAAGGCCACAAACAACUUCGAUGACCGCGGAAAAAUUGGCGAAGGAGGCUACGGAUUUGUUUUCAAAGGAACAUUGACGGAUAGAAAGGAGGUUGCCAUAAAGGUGUCGAAGAGUAAUGCCCCAAUGACCCAAAGUAAUCAGUUCAUCAAUGAGGUGAUUGUUCUUUCACAAAUCAACCAUAGAAAUGUGGUGAGGCUCCUAGGUUGUUGCUUAGAGACUCAAACUCCUUUGUUAGUUUACGAGUUUGUUAGCAAUGGCACACUUUAUGAGCACAUUCAUAAGAAGAAUGGCAAGGGUCCGCUUUCUUUUGGGUUACGAAUGAAGAUAGCAGCAGAAACUGCAGGAUCUCUAUCAUACUUGCACUACUCCACUUCCAUGCAAAUCGUGCACCGAGAUGUGAAAGCAACCAAUAUACUAUUGGAUGAGAAUUUCACAGCCAAAGUAUCAGACUUUGGAGCUUCGAAAUUGGUUCCUGAAGAUCAAAAUCAGCUGUCCACUUUAGUACAAGGAACGCUGGGUUACCUAGACCCUGAAUAUCUCCAGUCAAACACACUGACAGAAAAGAGUGAUGUCUAUAGCUUCGGCGUUGUUCGUGUUGAGCUUAUAACGAGUCAAGUGGCAAUUUCUCACAAGAAGCCUGAGGCAGAGAGAAACCUAGCGAACUGUUUUGUAACGUCGGUGGAAGAGAAUCGCUUGGCUGAUAUUCUUGAUCUUGAAAUUAUCAAGGAGGGAAGCUUUGAAAUAGCUGAACAAGUAGCCCAUCUCGCCAAAAGAAGUUUAAGUUUGAAAGGAGGAGAUAGGCCUACCAUGAAAGAAGUAGCAAUGGAGCUAGAGGUAAUACUGGCUGUUAUGGCAAAGCAUCCUGGAGGAAAGCCCGACUCCUCCCCCAAAGAGACCGAUUACUUGCUUGCAGCGUCACCUUCAAACGCUUACGUUGUUGAUGUUAGAAGUGAUGAAGGUGAAGUCAUAACCAGCAUAGAUUAUGACCAGAGCAUGCAUAAUCAAUCCCAGAUGAUGAAGCCUUAUGAUGGUGGGAGAUAG